rnacentral:rRNA from 1 species
AGUAGUAAUAUUAAAAUAAACUUAUAUAUAAUGGCGGUCCUAAUAGAUUAGAGAAACUCGCUUAUUAAUCGAUAAUACCCGAUAAAUUUCACUAGUUUUAAAAGUUUAUAUACCGCCGUUAAGAUUUAAUUUAAAAAUUAAAAUCUCUAAAUAUAAUAUAUAAAAAAUCAGGUCAAGGUGUAACAAAUAAAUUAGAUUAAGUAAGUUACAAUAAAUACAAUUUAAGAAUAAUAGUACAACUCAAUAUUUGAAAAAGAAUUUAUAUGUAUUUAUGAAUUAAUAUUUCAUUAAGAAAAUCAUAUUU